rnacentral:rRNA from 1 species
GACGAACGCUGGCGGCGUGCCUAAUACAUGCAAGUCGAGCGGAUCUUCAUUAGCUUGCUUUUGAAGACCAGCGGCGGACGGGUGAGUAACACGUGGGCAACCUGCCUGUAAGACUGGGAUAACUUCGGGAAACCGGAGCUAAUACCGGAUAAUCCUUUCCCUCACAUGAGGGAAAGCUGAAAGACGGUUUCGGCUGUCACUUACAGAUGGGCCCGCGGCGCAUUAGCUAGUUGGUGAGGUAAUGGCUCACCAAGGCGACGAUGCGUAGCCGACCUGAGAGGGUGAUCGGCCACACUGGGACUGAGACACGGCCCAGACUCCUCCGGGAGGCAGCAGUAGGGAAUCUUCCGCAAUGGACGAAAGUCUGACGGAGCAACGCCGCGUGAGCGAUGAAGGCCUUCGGGUCGUAAAGCUCUGUUGUCAGGGAAGAACAAGUAUCGGAGUAACUGCCGGUACCUUGACGGUACCUGACCAGAAAGCCACGGCUAACUACGUGCCAGCAGCCGCGGUAA